UACGUAGGGUGCGAGCGUUUGUCCGGAAUUAUUGGGCGUAAAGAGCUCGUAGGCGGUGUGUCGCGUCGGCCGUGAAAACCUGCAGCUUAACUGUGGGCUUGCGGUCGAUACGGGCAUCACUGGAGUUCGGCAGGGGAGACUGGAAUUCCUGGUGUAGCGGUGAAAUGCGCAGAUAUCAGGAGGAACACCGGUGGCGAAGGCGGGUCUCUGGGGCCGAUGACUGACGCUGAGGAGCGAAAGCGUGGGGAGCGAACAGG
rnacentral:rRNA from 1 species